rnacentral:rRNA from 1 species
AACAGGAUUAGAUACCCUGGUAGUCCACGCUGUAAACGAUGUCGACUUGGAGGUUGUGCCCUUGAGGCGUGGCUUCCGGAGCUAACGCGUUAAGUCGACCGCCUGGGGAGUACGGCCGCAAGGUUAAAACUCAAAUGAAUUGACGGGGGCCUGCACAAGCGGUGGAGCAUGUGGUUUAAUUCGAUGCAACGCGAAGAACCUUACCUACUCUUGACAUCCAGAGAAUUUGCUAGAGAUAGCUUAGUGCCUUCGGGAACUCUGAGACAGGUGCUGCAUGGCUGUCGUCAGCUCGUGUUGUGAAAUGUUGGGUUAAGUCCCGCAACGAGCGCAACCCUUAUCCUUUGUUGCCAGCACGUAAUGGUGGGAACUCAAAGGAGACUGCCGGUGAUAAACCGGAGGAAGGUGGGGAUGACGUCAAGUCAUCAUGGCCCUUACGAGUAGGGCUACACACGUGCUACAAUGGCAUAUACAAAGAGAAGCGAACUCGCGAGAGCAAGCGGACCUCAUAAAGUAUGUCGUAGUCCGGAUUGGAGUCUGCAACUCGACUCCAUGAAGUCGGAAUCGCUAGUAAUCGUAGAUCAGAAUGCUACGGUGAAUACGUUCCCGGGCCUUGUACACACCGCCCGUCACACCAUGGGAGUGGGUUGCAAAAGAAGUAGGUAGCUUAACCUUCGGGAGGGCGCUUACCACUUUGUGAUUCAUGACUGGGGUGAAGUCGUAACAAGGUAACC